GGGGGGAGGCCGGAUCCUGGGCUGUGUCCCGGCGCCCUGUGCUCCCGGGCCUGCGCUGUUGGAUUCGCGCUCCCGCCCCGCAGCCCCCU
rnacentral:pre_miRNA from 1 species